AUUGAACGCUGGCGGCAUGCCUUACACAUGCAAGUCGAACGGUAACAGGUCUUCGGAUGCUGACGAGUGGCGAACGGGUGAGUAAUACAUCGGAACGUGCCCGAGAGUGGGGGAUAACGAGGCGAAAGCUUCGCUAAUACCGCAUACGAUCUCAGGAUGAAAGCAGGGGACCGCAAGGCCUUGCGCUCACGGAGCGGCCGAUGGCAGAUUAGGUAGUUGGUGGGAUAAAAGCUUACCAAGCCGACGAUCUGUAGCUGGUCUGAGAGGACGACCGGCCACACUGGGACUGAGACACGGCCCAGGCUCCUACGGGAGGCAGCAGUGGGGAAUUGUGGACAAUGGGCGCAAGCCUGAUCCAGCCAUGCCGCGUGCAGGAUGAAGGCCUUCGGGUUGUAAACUGCUUUUGUACGGAACGAAAAGACUCUGGUUAAUACCUGGGGUCCAUGACGGUACCGUAAGAAUAAGCACCGGCUAACUACGUGCCAGCCGCCGCAGUAAGAC
rnacentral:rRNA from 1 species